CCCGUAGUGCAUGCAUGUGUUUUUCUUCGCUUCCGUUGCUCUCAUCUUUGAGUAUGCAUGCCGGGGUGGUUUUUGUCUGGUGUCUCAUUCUUUUCUCCUCCCGUAGGCGCUCCCGUUCGGGUAGUCCGGGUGCUUGGGAUAUCCGGGCGGGGGUGCUUACAAUGUUGGUAUCAGAGCGUAGUUUGAGUCAAUUUUGGGGACGAGUUCCUGUACACCAAAGUUGUCGGAUGUUUAGUGUUGUAUGCAGAUUUUGAGUAUUCCCAAUAAGACCCGAAGGCCUAGAUUCCCAAUGUACCCUUACCCAACUCGGAUGUGCUCUCAGAAUUGCAUUGUUUAUGGUGUCAGUGGGAACAGGAGUUUGCUUCUGGAUGGGGAGGCGGGCAAGACGAAGAGGAGUACCUAGUGAGUUAUGUGUAUCGGCUUGACGAGUUGUCUCAAGAGAUGAUCCACGAGAUCUUUUUGGGGACUGUCAGAGAGACAAGUCAUGUUCGCCCGCGAGCACAUGAAGGACAUGUGGAGGCGACUGACUAAAGUAGUGAUGAAUGAUGGGAGCCUUCGUUCCCAUUAUGAUGUUUUUGCCAGGGCUGUGAGGCAAUAAGAUGCCAUUUGGGAGCCUUACUAGGGAUUGAUACAGAGUGUGCCCAGGAUUGGAACACUACCUGACACUCAGUCAGUUUGAGCCACUGUGAGGGUGUCGUCAUAACCACCGGAGGGACUUGUUGGACUUAGCUUACUUGGCAGAUGAUUUGCCGGGCUAACUCUGAGGUGUUUUCUAAAGAGGUCUGGAGUUCCUUGGUCUCGCUAGGUGUUGUCGACGUCCUAUUAAGGCUAGCGUCAAUGUCAUGAGAGAUGAGGUCAUGGUAGAAUGUGAUCUGGAGGUUCAUGAUUGAAUUUUGCCAGGAGUGGUACGGGAAGGUCCCACAUGGUGGAAAAUGUGCUAUAGAAGUCCAAUGGUUACUAGUAGAUCUGUAGGUACCGAGAUGUGUAUAGGGUGUACUGAGAUGGAAAACUGAAGGUUGGUUAAUGUGGUAGUUGAUGGUUUAAACUGUCUGUACAUAUUCAGACUGGAGAUAUGUAUCGUAAGGAAGUGUGAAGGUAAAUUGAGGUUCUGAGGGGUUUGCAUUUUCUUGGAGGUUUAGGGCAGCAACCCUAAGUUUUAAUCGAAUUUGGAUGGAUAACUCGGAACACUAAUACGAAGUCCCAAGAGAGAUCUGUGAUGAAAAUUCACUGAAAGACUAUUAUGGAAUUGAGGACUUGGCUUUUACAGCAGUUAUGCUGUUUGGAGAUUUGGCAUUACAACCUGGCUAGGGUGUAGGUGUUUAGUUCUCACAGAUGGAGCGGAGUUCAGGUGACGCCGCGAUUGGCGUGGCAAAUGACUAAGGCUGUGAGGUUCUGUAACAAAUAGGGUAAAGUAAAGGUGGUAACAGGUGUUUUAGGCUAUCGUGGUGCAUCCGUGAUAAUGUGAAUUAGAAGUAAGGAAAACCCCUCUACGUUUGGUGUUGUGGGAGAUACCCCGGUGUAUGGCCACGGCCGAAAUUGGAUACAGGUCUAAGUAACUAUUGGGUUCUGCUGCAAGGAUAGUAGUUGCUAUGAGUACGCGCGGUGCUAAUCACGGACCACAUGCCCUAGGGUCGGAUUAUUGACCGAGAGAGGAGAUGAGACUCCUUUGGGUGCUGGUCAAGUGGUACAUCGGCAAAAACAUGAGAUGGUCUAUUAUGCCAGCCAAAAGAAUGCUUAACCCACUUCAGUUACUUUUCGUGGUUGAUGAGACUUAUAAGAUGCCUUGGAGAUUAGAUAGUUACUGACACGGUGAGGUGCUUUCAGCCUAGUAGGCUACAGAGCGGAUAACGUUGGUUUUAAAGCUUAUGUUCUAGCUAGCCUAUUGAGUCUUUGAGGAGUGCCAAUUCCUUUAAGGAGGGGAGAUCUGGUGACAUUUAGAUCUCAAGAUGUAAUGAGUGGAGACUGUAUAUCCCUUGAUAGUCCUGAUUAAAUGGCUACUCAUGUUUAUUAACAGGACCCCGAACGUACGCGGCAAGUUGUGGGAGAAAGUACUGCCGAGAAAAUGAUGUGUAUCUGGUUAAGAAUCAGUUGGCAAAAGUCAGACUAAAGGAUAUUGCUGCUGAAACCUUGAUUGAGGAUGUCGUAUCGUUUCCGUGUUCCAGUGCGUCGUAAGUACGUGGCAGGUUUAGGUCGUGUUAUCGAAUAUUAGCUUCUCGCCAUGUAAGAGGAUGGCCCCACUCCUAUCGUUAUCAGUUGAGUUAUGAGAUAGUAAUAGAAGAACCUUGAUGACGUCUCUUAGGCUGGUUAAGGUAUUAGUGGUCAUAUCGUGGUUCACUUGCGGUGAUGGAUUAGGGAGAUGUGCUAGUGUAUUAAGUCAAGUAGGAUAUGUCGUGGACUUGGACUUGUGAGAAUUGGAAAAUGAUGAUAUGGAAGGUCUCGGAAGAUGUGUUAGGUAAUAUCAUGAGAAUCGUGAGCGUAUCUUGAGGACAUGGACUGAGCGCGAAUUUCGAGGACGAAAUUCUAUUAAGGAGGGGAGAAUUGUAAUAUCCCGAAAAUUUGAGAAAUAAAUAAUGAUUAAUAAUUUUGGCAUUUGAUGUCAUUUUGGAGUAUUAGAGAAAUUAAGAGAAAAUAUUUACUUAUGUUAUUUUGAGAAAAUAAGUAAAUAAGAUAAUUAUUAAUUCUUGCAUUUAUGGAAAUUAUUAAUUUAUUUGGGAAUUUGGAGAUAUAAGAAAAAAUAAAUUAAUUUAAUGGAUUUUUGAAAGUUUUCGGGUGUAAGUGCAAUAAAGGAAAUUGGAGUCUGGGGUGUGUGUGCCAAUAAUGAAAGUUCUGGGGGCUGAAAUGUGAUUUGCCGAAGUGGCCGCAAAUCACCUUAAAUAUAAGUGAAGGCAUUAUAUGGUUAAAGGAGUUGGCUAGCGCGGGCGGUCGCGAGUGCUCGUGUGCUGGGUGAGGUCGCGGGUUCGAGCCCCCUCGGGUGUGCGCGCGCGCUGGAGAAUUUUGGCUGAUUUUUCAGCCAAAAUCCUUGCCCAAAACGGCGUCGUUUUGGGCAAGGCGGUGGCAGCCAUGUGCAGCUGCUGGGCGCGCCACGUGGCGCGCUGUGGGCCGCCCAUUUGCCUCGCGUUAAAGCAGCAUUUUUGCUGCGAUUUUAAGGCCGAUUUCGGCCAAAUUUGAGACAGAACCAGAGGAAGAAAAAUGAAGAAGAAGCAGCGCGCGCGAGGGUCAUUUUUUUAGAGAAAAAUUGAAGAUUAAAUUACGUUUAAUCGUGAUUUAAUUAAUCAGCGUGUAUUAAUUUGGUGAUGUUUAAGCAUGAAAACGCUGUAAUCAGCUUAAGCGAGGCAAGUUCUCCUCUACCCUUGCGAUCUAUUUCCAUUUGCGGGAAUGCAAGAAAUUGAGGAAACGGUCGUGUAAAG